rnacentral:rRNA from 1 species
GUGGGGAAUAUUGGACAAUGGGCGAAAGCCUGAUCCAGCCAUGCCGCGUGUGUGAAGAAGGUCUUCGGAUUGUAAAGCACUUUAAGUUGGGAGGAAGGGCAGUAAGUUAAUACCUUGCUGUUUUGACGUUACCGACAGAAUAAGCACCGGCUAACUUCGUGCCAGCAGCCGCGGUAAUACGAAGGGUGCAAGCGUUAAUCGGAAUUUCUGGGCGUAAAGCGCGCGUAGGUGGUUUUGUAAGUUGGAGGUGAAAUCCCCGGGCUCAACCUGGGAACUGCCUCAAAAACUGCAUGACUAGAGUACGGUAGAGGGUAGUGGAAUUUCCUGUGUAGCGGUGAAAUGCGUAGAUAUAGGAAGGAACACCAGUGGCGAAGGCGACUACCUGGACUGAUACUGACACUGAGGUGCGAAAGCGUGGGGAGCAAACAGGAUUAGAAACCCCGGUAGUCC